rnacentral:rRNA from 1 species
GACGAACGCUGGCGGCGUGCUUAACACAUGCAAGUCGAACGGAAAGGCCCUGCUUGCAGGGUACUCGAGUGGCGAACGGGUGAGUAACACGUGGGUGAUCUGCCCUGCACUUCGGGAUAAGCCUGGGAAACUGGGUCUAAUACCGGAUAGGAGCCAUUUUUAGUGUGAUGGUUGGAAAGUUUUUUCGGUGUAGGAUGAGCUCGCGGCCUAUCAGCUUGUUGGUGGGGUAAUGGCCUACCAAGGCGGCGACGGGUAGCCGGCCUGAGAGGGUGGACGGCCACAUUGGGACUGAGAUACGGCCCAGACUCCUACGGGAGGCAGCAGUGGGGAAUAUUGCACAAUGGGCGCAAGCCUGAUGCAGCGACGCCGCGUGGGGGAUGACGGCCUUCGGGUUGUAAACUCCUUUCGCUAGGGACGAAGCUUUUUGUGACGGUACCUAGAUAAGAAGCACCGACUAACUACGUG